GAGAUCUAAAGAAAGGGAAAAAAUCUAAAGAGAAGGAUCACCCAUAGAAGAAAAACGGAAGGGGUAAUCAGAGGCCCACAGGCCCACACUGCUUCGCAGGCAGAGUCUACAUUUCUGAGGCAUGAGGACAUUCAUAUGAAUAUUAUACUUACAAAAGCUCUUCCACAGAAUAUAAAAAGAUGAUCUCCAACUCAUUCAAUAAAGCUAGUAUUUCCCUGACACCAAAUCCAGACCUCACUAGUGCAGAAAAUAUAUGGGACACCCCACUUGUGCUAAUGACACAAAAAUAUUUCAACUAAAACAUGAACAAAUACGAUAAUGCGAUGUGCUAGGAGAUCACCUUUCCUAGGAAUGAAAAGAUGGUUCAAGGUUAGGGAACCUAUCGGUGUAAUUUCCUGCAAUAACCGUUAACAGACAAUGAUGCUAUGACCGUCUCAAGAAAGCAGCAGAUAGUGUGUUCCUGCUCCGUCCUCUGCCUGACCUGCUGAGGUCUUCUUGCAGAGAUUAGAAUCUGGAAGCUCCAUUUCCCAGGCUUUCUUGCCAUGGUUCCAGUUUCGUUUCUACCCCUGAGGGUACUCACUGGUUUGGCAAAAGGGGAAGAAGGCUGGACUGGAGAUGUGAGUGCUGUUGGGUGGGUCACAGGCUGCCUGGCCCCGCUGCUGCACCAUUCACAGAACACCAUCACGAAAAUCCUCCUCCUGGAGUGCGCUAUGCACACGCCCCACCUUGGGGCGGGAAGGGGUUCUGCAAUAUAUGUUUUGCAGAAGAGAAUGGGCAUCAUCUUUUCAAAGUAUUAGGUACCAAGGGUUCCCCCCAGAACAUGUAAGUUCCCCUCUGUUGGCUGAAAUAAUAAAAGAAAUGGAGAAAAUCCACUUUCACGAAUUCUAAUGUAGAUACUGUUUUUGUGUGUGUGUGCAAAACAGUUCUUGUAUUUUUCUGUACAAGAUGUGGCACAAUAAAUGCUGAGUUUCUUGGGGCUAUGGAUAACAUUUCGGGAGCGGUGUCUCACUCGUCCACAUAGGUUAGUGACUUGCAGGCAUUCUUUGCUCUGUGUCAAAUGCCUCUGUAUUAACCAGUUAAAACGAAGCAAGUUGGACCUGGCAGGCUCCAAGUCUCUGCAGGCAGUAAUAGAUGCUCUCAGUGAUUGAUAUUGAACAUCUUUACAACAAGCAUCCUGCAAGCUGCUUUACGAACGUCAUCUGAUUUAGUCUUCGCUAUGGAUUGAUUUAUUCAGUGAAUUUUUGAGGGGGAACUCCUAUGCAAAAAACACUGAGCUAAGGCCAGAGGAUGAAGCGAUUAAUAAACCACAUGUGGUCUCUGCCCUCAUGGAACUUGCAAUGUGUCAGAGAAGAAUCUAUGAAAACAUGAUUGGGGUCACAACAAGUAUCUUCCAAUUUGACCUCAAAGGCAGCUGAAAACCUGGAAUUGGAUAUUGAGUAUGAAACAGAAAAAUCCCAAGGCAGGCCCUCUAUUUCCAGCCUGAAAAACAGAAAAACCUGCAGGCCCUGCCGGUCAGAGGGAGUGGAGGAAAUUCUUUUCCAUCUUUUAUUGGUGGUUGUCCUUUCUCGUCCUUGUGUGGGAACAAUGACUCUGACAACCGCAGAUUUCUUUCACAGGCCCGUGAGUCAGUGGCCGUGGGAUGGCGUUUGUUAACUGCUGAAAGAGAACUGUCAACACAGAAUUCUUUACCCCGAAAAUUUCCUUCAGGAAUGAAGACGAAAUAAAGUCAUUUGCAGAUGAAGGAAAACGAAGAGAAAUUCUCCCCAGCAAACCUGCUUGCUUAUUUGAUUUUGGUACCUGUCGUUAACCCUCAUAAAUAAAACCUGCCCUUGUGAUAUUA